CAGAACAUCAAUAAAACCUGAAGAACUUAUUUAAAAUUCACAUGUCCGACUUUCUUCCAGAUCCACUAAAUCAGUCCCGGCCAGAGGCGUUUUUUAUCAGGCUUCACCUGCGAGUCUCUGGCACAACUAGCUCUUCCUGAUGUGGCCAGCCGGAAACAGAAAUGGCGACUGGAACAUGAAAGAUGGGAAAACUCCUGAUGGAUGCUGUGAACAGCUCAGAAUAUACCCUUGUCCUUUGGAGCCUGCACACUCAGGGAUAAGACAGAUAAAUACACGGCUAUGAGAAGUACCAGUGUGGAAGGACCUUUUCCUUAGGAAAGUGUCCCAACUUUGGCUCCAGUGAUUGCUCGGUGCUUUCC
rnacentral:lncRNA from 1 species